rnacentral:rRNA from 1 species
CCACAUGGCAUGCCCAGUACGGCGAGUGAGCGGCAACAGCUCAAAUUUGAAAUCUGGCCCCUCGGGCCCGAGUUGUAAUUUGUAGAGGAUGCUUUUGGCAAGGUGCCGCCCGAGUUCCCUGGAACGGGACGCCGCAGAGGGUGAGAGCCCCGUCUGGCUGGCCACCGAGCCUCUGUAAAGCUCCUUCGACGAGUCGAGUAGUUUGGGAAUGCUGCUCAAAAUGGGAGGUAUAUGUCUUCUAAAGCUAAAUAUUGGCCAGAGACCGAUAGCGCACAAGUAGAGUGAUCGAAAGAUGAAAAGCACUUUGAAAAGAGGGUUAAACAGUACGUGAAAUUGUUGAAAGGGAAGCGCUCAUGACCAGACUUGGGCUUGGCGAAUCAUCCGGCGUUCUCGCCGGUGCACUUCGCCUCGCCCAGGCCAGCAUCAGUUCGCGCCGGGGGACAAAAGCUUCGGGAAUGUGGCUCCUCCGGGAGUGUUAUAGCCCGUUGCAUAAUACCCUGGGGCGGACUGAGGUUCGCGCAUCUGCAAGGAUGCUGGCGUAAUGGUCAUCAGCGACCCGUCUUGAACACGGACCCA